UGUUCGGACUUGUUUACGGAAAAGAAGAAAACUAUUUUCAGACUACUCCUGGAAGUUUUCCUCUAUUUGCUAGUCAUUUGUGAAUUUUUUUCGCUUUGAUUGUGAUUAUGUAGAGAACCUAGACACGCCUCAACUGGAGGCUUCUGUGUAUACUUGGGUGAAAACUUAAUAUCGUGGAGUUCGAAGAAACAGAAAACAGUUUUCAGGUCUAGCACUGAAGCUGAAUAUAGGCAGCUUGCAUACACCGCCGCUGAGUUGCCCUGGUUAUGUUCGUUGUUUAGGGAUGUACAUUAGAAUCUUCUAAGGGAGAAGGUGAUUAGAGGUGAGCUACUGGUGAAUUUUAUUUGUUCACAAGAUCAAAUUGCUGAUUUAUUCACGAAGGGUUAUCUUCAUCUCGAUUUAAACUGCUGGUGUCCAAGCUUCCAGUUGGGCUACAAUCUGUCAGCUUGCCCGGGGAUGUUAGACCAAGUCAGACUUCUAAUUUCCAAUCAUACUCUCAGCUUGCCCGGGGAUUAUUUGAAUAUUUCUUAGCUGAGUUAAUUAGUAUGAUUUGCUUUUGACAAAUAAAAAAAAUAAAAAAAAAGUAUGAUUUGCUGUUUUAAAGUUUAAACUUCAAAACUACCGUGUAAAAAGGGUUUUAAAAAAAUUAGUAUGAUUUGCUGUUCUAAGUUUUA